CUCUUGAACCCGUCUUUUUUAUCACUUCAUACUUAUCAUUUGUGUAUUAAUUCUUGGUUUGUUUGCUCUUAAAUUGUAUGAUCUCAAAUUUCUCUUUUGAUUUAGAUAGAUAUGAGUGACACAAUGAGGCCAAGGAUAAAGGUUAGGUUUCACUUAGUUUAUGAUAGGGGAUAAUUGAUCAAUUAACCCAAAUCCUUAUUAUCUAUCAAGUUAUCUUUUCUUUUUGGCCUUUUUAAUUAUUAUUAUUGAAUCUUUUUGUUUAGGGGAAGGUGUUGUGUG
rnacentral:misc_RNA from 1 species